rnacentral:rRNA from 1 species
UACGUAGGGUGCGAGCGUUGUCCGGAAUUACUGGGCGUAAAGAGCUCGUAGGCGGUGUGUCGCGUCGGCCGUGAAAACCUGCAGCUUAACUGUGGGCUUGCGGUCGAUACGGGCAUCACUGGAGUUCGGCAGGGGAGACUGGAAUUCCUGGGUGUAGCGGUGAAAUGCGCAGAUAUCAGGAGGGAACACCGGUGGCGAAGGCGGGUCUCUGGGCCGAUACUGACGCUGGAGGAGCGAAAGC